GAGGGUUUGGGAGAAUCGAGGAGCCGCCGCCGAGACUUCGUCGAGAACCGAGGGAAGUUGACUUCGUGAAGAAACUUGGCAGAAAUUCGAGAAUCGUCAGAGACAGUAAGCAAAAUUCUGUGGCUCAAAUCUCAUUUUAUGUUGAGGCUAAAAUCACGAAAAAAAAUACCAAGAUGUAGCCCUCAACACGAUCUAGAACUUUGUCGAAGGAACCAUAUCAAUCCGAGCUCAAGAUCAAAAGAUAUGAAAAUUGGAAAACUGCAGAUCGAAAAAGGACAACGGAUUGCAGGAGAGAGAGAAGAAAAAAAAGGAGAGGCGGCGCAGCGGAGCGCGACUCGGCAGGCUGUGACACAUAUUGAGCGUCGGCUGGAGCGACGUAGCUCCAGCAGAACGACGACCAGUGUCACCAGUAGAAACCAGGCUGAACCGCAGCGAACUGAACCGCUGACCGAACCAACCCAACCCACGACUACGUGAAGCAAUCCGCGUGUAGUCGUCGCGCGUGCAGUCUGCGACUGGCAUCCUUUCCCGCACGUGGCUAGCAUGUGAUAGGCGCGUGAAGGCACGUGGGAGUCUCGUUUUUUGUCCGUUUACCUUCUGUUUGUCUCGAUUCCUAUUUCAAUAAUAUUUUUAUGUGAAUAGGGACCAAAUCAAGGAUAAUCAGUAUUUUUGGACACCUUAC